CCCCUCUGAGGGUCGCACCUGUAGAGUUUCCAGUACUCUACCAGUCUCGGCUAAAGGAGGGAGAGUAGUCAAGCAGAGGCCUGUCCAUUCCAUUCCUAGCUUGGGCAGUGGCUAAUGAGAGGAAGGCAAUCUGCUACAAGU
rnacentral:snoRNA from 2 species